rnacentral:rRNA from 1 species
UACGUAGGGUGCGAGCGUUAAUCGGAAUUACUGGGCGUAAAGCGUGCGCAGGCGGUUUUGCAAGCCAGAUGUGAAAUCCCCGGGCUUAACCUGGGAAUGGCAUUUGGGACUGCAAGGCUGGAGUGCGGCAGAGGAGACUGGAAUUCCUGGUGUAGCAGUGAAAUGCGUAGAUAUCAGGAGGAACACCGAUGGCGAAGGCAGGUCUCUGGGCUGACACUGACGCUCAUGCACGAAAGCGUGGGGAGCAAACAGG